rnacentral:rRNA from 1 species
UUGACCUCAAAUCAGGUAGGACUACCCGCUGAACUUAAGCAUAUCAAUAAGCGGAGGAAAAGAAACUAACAAGGAUUCCCCUAGUAACUGCGAGUGAAGCGGGAUAAGCUCAAAUUUAAAAUCUGGCGGUCCUUGUGGCCGUCCGAGUUGUAAUUUAGAGAAGCGUUAUCCGCGUUGGACCGUGUACAAGUCUCCUGGAAUGGAGCGUCAUAGAGGGUGAGAAUCCCGUCUUUGACACGGACUGCCAAGGCAUUGUGAUACGCUCUCGAAGAGUCGAGUUGUUUGGGAAUGCAGCUCAAAAUGGGUGGUAAAUUCCAUCUAAAGCUAAAUAUUGGGGAGAGACCGAUAGCGAACAAGUACCGUGAGGGAAAGAUGAAAAGAACUUUGGAAAGAGAGUUAAACAGUACGUGAAAUUGCUGAAAGGGAAACGCUUGAAGUCAGUCGCGUCGUUCAGGACUCAGCCUUGCUUUGCUUGGUGUACUUCCUGUUCGACGGGUCAGCAUCAAUUUUGGUCGGUGGAUAAAGGCUUGGAGAAUGUGGCAUCCUCGGAUGUGUUAUAGCUCUGGGUCGCAUACAUCGGCUGGGAUUGAGGAACUCAGCACGCCGCAAGGCCGGGGACUUGUCCCACGUACGUGC